UUUCUUCUGCCUUCGGUUUGUGAGCUUUUCGCAGGGCUUCCAACAGCGCUAUGUUGGGACAAAGCAUCCGGAGGUUCACAACCUCUGUGGUCUGUAGGAGCCACUGUGAGGAGGGUCCAGGGAAGAAUUUACCAUUUUCAGUGGAAAACAAGUGGCGGUUACUAGCUAUGAUGACUUUGUACUUUGGGUCUGGAUUUGCUGCACCUUUCUAUAUAGUAAGACACCAACUGCUUAAAAAAUAAUCCAUGAGACAGAUACGAAGAGGAGCAUUUUAAGUGUGCAGUCUCUGAAGAAGGAUCAAACUCUU